CAUGCCUCCAGACUGUUCAAUGAUGUCGUAGAUGAGCUUGGAGGUUUCUUCAUCCUUCAUCUCGGCCUCGGAGAUCCCAGCACAGGACAGCAGCUUCAGCAGGGAGAUCAGUGGUCUACAGUCUAUCUACACAACAGCACAGGGUGACUGCGUGGAUGUCCACAAUAUCAGAUAAGGAAGCUAUGGGUGAAGGCAUGGAGCGGUAACGCGAGGCCUGGAUAUCAGGGUUCUGGAUGUCCAUGGUGGCCAUGGAGGGAGAACCAGGGAGGCCAGAUCCUACAUUUUGCAGCA